GAGAAGGAGCAGGCCAGGUCUGGGACAGCCAGGCCGGCCGGCGGCAGCAACCCGCCUGUAUGUAAUGGAGAGCGCCUCUAGCCACAGGGCUGCCCAUUUGGCCUUGUUAAAUCACCCCCAGCAUAUGGUGAGAGACAUCUGCCCAGGAUUUGGACCUCACAGACUGGAAGAGGAGGGCUCCGCACAGACACUUUGAGGCUGGAGAGGGUGGAGGCAGCUGGGAAGGCGAUUCUAGGGCAAGGGCCUCACUUCGAGGAGCCGGGAUUCUGAGAAAGAAGGGACUGGCUCAAGGUCAUGCAGUAGCCUACGGUUAGAUCUGUAGGGGACAAUUCAUUUCGGUUCUUUGAGCCUCUGUUUAUUUAUCUGUGAAGUGGGGUGGACAAAUAACUUACAGCCUGGAUCUGAGGGUUCGAUGAGAUCAUGUAAGGGAAUGGGCCCUGCUCAGUGCAUUUUAGUCGAACGUAUUUCUCGGUAUUCAGGGUAUAAGGGUCAAAGGCAGCCACUGACAGUGUUACAUUUUCAAGAGGCUUCAGAAAAGAUCCAAUACCUUCCCAAAUCCUGCUCCUGCUGCUUAGGGCUGGAGGGAACUGCAUUCUUCUGGCCGCUGUUUGAGUCCAAUUACAAUGCAGCCUCACUUGCAAUGGAUAAAAAUGUGAAUCGUGGAAGGCUGACUUCUAGGAUUCCGAAAAAGGCAAAAUGGAGAAACUGGGCCACUCCGUGUUGCUGGAUCAAGCCAUAACUGAAGACAGUGCUACCUUUGGACUUUUUACUUGGAAAUUACAUCAAAUUGGGAUCCUCUCGCUGCUAGAGUUUGGUACACAUCAUGAAAAACUUGCCAGACGUUUCGAGAGCAGCGUCAUCUCAUUUCAAUGGCCAAAAACCUCAAAAUAAGCCAAAGAAGACUGAUAAGGCCUCAUGCUCAACCCCUUUGGAAGCUGUAUGGUGUUUUUAUUCUGCUGGGAGGGACAAGCAAAUUAAUUACCAGAUCUUAAAACCUCAGUCACUGCCUUAGGAGCCAUUAGAAGGACAGCGAGAGAGAAAACAAACACAGACUCAAGACGGUACAAAGGAAUUCGACACAAACAGUUGAGAGGCUUUUCUGAAUUUGGGGGCACACGGGUAGAUGGUUGUGAUUUCUAAAGCAGCAGCUAGAACUGGACCCUAGGAAUUUAAAAAAAAAAAAAAUCUCAAAGAAUCCACCCUUGAAAAACCUGGGUAACACCAAUGGAGCCGUAUUGCCACCCCAGAUGGCCAAAUGGGGUAAACAUAUCACUUUAAUUUAAAUUUUCUGGCUAUUUGACAAUAGGCAACCUCUGGUCCUUUCCCAACCUUCAGACACUGCUGAUCUCCCCAUUGAGGACCUAUUGACUUCAACCCAGAGCGAAUGCAUUACAGCCAAGUGAUAAAUUGCUUAAAAUUAUUCUUCAAUGAAAACGCUGGAAACCUCCGAUGUGGCUUUUUGAAUGGAGGGUGGGCAGGACAAUUUCCAAACUGUCCGGAUCAGAGAUGCUUUCAGCCGAUUGAUUCUUUCUUCAGCAGCUACGUUGCUAACCUGCAGAGCCCAUGGUCCGCAUGGCACUGAGGGCUUACCCAAUUCAUGCUGCUAAAGAAGGGUUUUUCCCUACCGCCAGUCCUUGCUCCGGGCUACCCUUCUCUCAACGACCACCCCCUCCCCCACUACAUCCCCCUCCACGCUCCCCCACCCACCAUAUAGCCAAAUCGUGCUCCCUCCCCGGAAAGCUCCUACAGCUCCAGUGACUACUACAUAAUUAACAAUAACUUGUAGUAAUGCAAUUUAAGAGUCCUUUUAAUGGGCAGCGAUGGUAGAAUGUAUAGCCCAUCUUUCUUUGUCAUCUGAGAAAAGCGGCCCCAUGCAGAGCUGCUGGUUGCUGAGUGAGGCUUUGUUGUCUGCACCAGACACAGUACCAGCUGCACUGGCAGGUAGCCGAAGUGCAAGCAGAUAGCUGCCAAACUAUGCUAUACAAAGGGAGCCGUGCCAGAGAGAAAGGGACCUUAGCAGGCCAUGACCUUUGACCCCCAAGCCAGCAUGGAUCCCAUAUUCAUCCCUUCCAGACAAUUGCAUCUUUCAUUCCACCACAAACUAUGAUUAGAAAGGGGCCAUUUGUGAUGGGGAGGGGGUCGGUUAGCUUAUAAGUUCCCAGCAAUGGGGCUAUUGCUUUUUUCUUCUAUUUUAAUGGUGACAAUAUUUUCCUUAAAACGGGGUAGGAGGAGAUGAGCAAUUAAACUAGGGAAAAUUAUAAAAGCAAAACAGUCACCCAGCCAAUGGCGUGAGGCAAGGACUCAAAGAAAGUGAAAAGCGUGGAGACAAUGACCAUAUGGCAUUUAAAAAGUCAAACGGAAAUUGAACUCUCACCUGAUCACGGGGAAGCUUCCCACAAGCGGACUGCUGGAAGGGCGCGUUUUUAGGGAAAUUGCUAACUUACUCAACACUGCUAUAUAAUACUUCUUUCAUCCCACCAGGAACGCUUUUGUUUGGUCAACUUAGAUUAAUGAGAAACUAACAGCUUGUAUUUGAAUAUGUCCUAGCAAGUCCAUUUUGUUCUUCUUUGAAAAACACCAGUGAUCUCUGGAAAAUGGCUUUUAUUUUGUGUUUUAAAGCCAUUCUAUCUACAUCAGGACUUAUGAAAAGAAGCCCAAAGCCUCAAGUGAGGACCCACCUCAAAGUCAAGGCAGCCUUUCGGUCCCUACCUCGGAGCCAUUCUGUCUGGUGGGCAGAGAAAUCAGUUGUCAGCCUUACACAGCCUGAGUGUGCUUAGGAAACGUUCUCAAAGCUGCUGGAACGUAAUGAACCGGAGUUUCAAAUUCUACGUCUUUCCAUAAAAGGAAAAAAAAGAAAAAAAAAAAGAAGCCUGUGAUGUGCAUUGGGGGGUCCACUCUGAGAGCUUUCUCAGUGGCAGAGAAGUUUCUGGAACAGGCCCCAUUUGCUCUGUCUUCCCACUGAAGGCAUGGAUCCUUGGAGGCAGGGGAAACCACUGAUACCUGCGGGCCAGCCUGAGGAGCCGCACCUGACUUCAGGCUUCCACGUGAAGCCGUCUGUUCUUUAUUUUCCCUCUGUAUGAAGCUAAUGGAAUUUGCAGUUGAUUAACCUCAAACCUGGAGAAGGGAUCCAGUCUGGGAUUGCAGCCGGCAGGGCUAAGGGGACGGUGACUUGUACUUCUUAAGUGACUCAGACAGCAACAAGUUUUCUCCCACCAAAGCAGAGGCCCAGAGGAAUGGAUAUGCAAGGGAGAGUUCCCUGGGUCCAAACAGCCAGCAGGCAUGGAGGCAGAUUGUGGUUGGGAUCUGGGCUCCCAAAAUAAAGCGCUGGCGUCUACAUGACAAAUUAACCCGGGAACCUGAAUCUUUUUCCUUUUUUUUUUUUUUUAAGGUUUCAUUUAUUUACUUGUGAGAGAGAGAUGGAGAGAGAGAGAGAGAAUGAGCAGUGGGGAAGAGCAGUGGGAGGGAGGGAGAAAGAGGGAGAGAGAGAAGCAGACUCACCACUGAGCAGGGAACCUGCCCAAUGUGGGGCUUGAUCCCAGGACCCUGGGAUCAUGCUCUGAGCUGAAGGCAGAUGCUUAACUGAAUGAGCCACCCAAGAGCCCCCUGAAUCUUCUAAAAAAAAAAAAAAGUCCCAAACACAUGGAGGCUUUACCCUGUGGAGUAAAGCAGCAGUAUGGUGGAUAAAGCAUGGACGGCAGAGUUAGAUUGCCUGCCUUCGGAUCCUGGCUCCGCUACUUAUCAGCUGGUUGACUUUGAGUAAGUUACUGAACUUCUCUGGGUCUUAGUCUCCUCAUCUGUCACCUGGAAUUGUUGACUGCAAUGAAGACUAAUGAAUUAAUAUUUGUAAGGUACUUAAGAAUCAUGCCCGGCCCAUCGUAAGCUUAUAUGUAAAGAUACGUGGAUUUUUUUUUUUUCUCCAGGAAAAUGUGCCCACACCUAUUUUUCCUGUCAGUCAUACUCUGAUUCAAGAAAAAUGCGGUAUGACUUCACUAGCUUCUAAAGACAAAAGACAAUAGCGUAGUGUAUCCUGAUACUCGGCUCAGCUAAAAAAAUUUUUUUUUACAAAACUAACUCUCAUGUUUAAAAUAGUUGUGAGAGAAAGUAAAGGACAUAGGUUUAAAAUUUAAAAAAAAGAUGUCGGGUACUUUCUUAUUGUUCUGCAUCAGACAGUAAAGGUUGCUGCUGAAUUUUCCGAGGGGAAGCUUCCACAUAUGGUAUAUUUAGUGCAUGAAAUGUGGCAGUUGGAUUCCUGUGUGUGUGUUUUUUUUUUUAAAUUGUCAUAUAAACAAAUAAUUCCAAACAUAUUUCUUCUUCGUGGAUUUGUUUCUAUUUUGCAAAUUGUUUCAGGCAUCAAUAAACAGGAUUACACAAAUGUGCAUACAACUGUAAAACUCAUUUAGUUUAGCAAGUGCUUCUCACAUAUUCAUUUACUCAACAAUGCUACUUUCAAGUCAUGUCAACAUUACUCCAUUGCUGCCUCAUGACUAAUACAGUGUUACUUAAACCCAUUUCACAUCUUCCAUCCCAGGAACACCACCAACCUUUUUGGUCUGGAUCACCUGGUUUCUAAUUAAAAAAAUCCAACUGAGAAAGAGGUCUUCUGCUGGGUGUAGGUUCUUCCCCAGCACACUUGUGGGUCCCCGG